GAUGAACGCUGGCGGCGUGCCUAAUACAUGCAAGUCGAGCGAACGGACGAGAAGCUUGCUUCUCUGAUGUUAGCGGCGGACGGGUGAGUAACACGUGGAUAACCUACCUAUAAGACUGGGAUAACUUCGGGAAACCGGAGCUAAUACCGGAUAAUAUUUUGAACCGCAUGGUUCAAAAGUGAAAGACGGUCUUGCUGUCACUUAUAGAUGGAUCCGCGCUGCAUUAGCUAGUUGGUAAGGUAACGGCUUACCAAGGCAACGAUGCAUAGCCGACCUGAGAGGGUGAUCGGCCACACUGGAACUGAGACACGGUCCAGACUCCUACGGGAGGCAGCAGUAGGGAAUCUUCCGCAAUGGGCGAAAGCCUGACGGAGCAACGCCGCGUGAGUGAUGAAGGUCUUCGGAUCGUAAAACUCUGUUAUUAGGGAAGAACAUAUGUGUAAGUAACUGUGCACAUCUUGACGGUACCUAAUCAGAAAGCCACGGCUAACUACGUGCCAGCAGCCGCGGUAAUACGUAGGUGGCAAGCGUUAUCCGGAAUUAUUGGGCGUAAAGCGCGCGUAGGCGGUUUUUUAAGUCUGAUGUGGAAGCCCACGGCUCAACCGUGGAGGGUCAUUGGAAACUGGAAAACUUGAGUGCAGAAGAGGAAAGUGGAAUUCCAUGUGUAGCGGUGAAAUGCGCAGAGAUAUGGAGGAACACCAGUGGCGAAGGCGACUUUCUGGUCUGUAACUGACGCUGAUGUGCGAAAGCGUGGGGAUCAAACAGGAUUAGAUACCCUGGUAGUCCACGCCGUAAACGAUGAGUGCUAAGUGUUAGGGGGUUUCCGCCCCUUAGUGCUGCAGCUAACGCAUUAAGCACUCCGCCUGGGGAGUACGACCGCAAGGUUGAAACUCAAAGGAAUUGACGGGGACCCGCACAAGCGGUGGAGCAUGUGGUUUAAUUCGAAGCAACGCGAAGAACCUUACCAAAUCUUGACAUCCUUUGACAACUCUAGAGAUAGAGCUUUCCCCUUCGGGGGACAAAGUGACAGGUGGUGCAUGGUUGUCGUCAGCUCGUGUCGUGAGAUGUUGGGUUAAGUCCCGCAACGAGCGCAACCCUUAAGCUUAGUUGCCAUCAUUAAGUUGGGCACUCUAAGUUGACUGCCGGUGACAAACCGGAGGAAGGUGGGGAUGACGUCAAAUCAUCAUGCCCCUUAUGAUUUGGGCUACACACGUGCUACAAUGGACAAUACAAAGGGCAGCGAAACCGCGAGGUCAAGCAAAUCCCAUAAAGUUGUUCUCAGUUCGGAUUGUAGUCUGCAACUCGACUACAUGAAGCUGGAAUCGCUAGUAAUCGUAGAUCAGCAUGCUACGGUGAAUACGUUCCCGGGUCU
rnacentral:rRNA from 1 species